GACGUAGGGCGCGAGCGUUGUCCGGAUUUAUUGGGCGUAAAGAGCUCGUAGGCGGCUUGUCGCGUCGUCUGUGAAAUCCCGCGGCUCAACUGCGGGCUGGCAGUCGAUACGGGCAGGCUGGAGUUCGGUAGGGGAGACUGGAAUUCCUGGUGUAGCGGUGAAAUGCGUAGAUAUCGGGAGGAACACCAGUGGCGAAGGCGACUACCUGGCCUGUUCUUGACGCUGAGGCGCGAAAGCUAGGGGAGCAAACGGG
rnacentral:rRNA from 1 species